AUUUUAUUUAUUAGUCACAGACCACACAUAUUAUAAGUCACAAUUUAUUAAACAGUCACAAAUUAACAAUUUUAUAUGUCACAUGUUAUUUCUUGGUCACAAUUCCUUUUUCUUAUUGAUCACAUGUUGUUUAUUGAUCACAAAUUAAAUCAUUUGUGAUCGCCACCAACACUUGUGACAACUACUGCCGCCUGCAACAUUGAUGUCGCAACUGCCAUCACAAAAACCACCGCCACCAUCUCCCGGCAGCCCUGUCAUCUCAAAACACCGCAACGAGCACCACCUUACCACCAAUAAACCAAUUAGAAAAUCCCAACACCCCACAAAAUCGCCAACAGACCAAAUGGAGGCUCCACCACCAUCAAAACCAGCGCGGCGCCUCCACCACCACCACAACAUCACACCUCUCUAUACACAUAGAUCAAGAUCUAACCAUGAUCGGAGUUGUAGCAGCUACAAAUUAGCGCUAUGCGACGUGUACAGAUCUAGGCAACUCCAUCCGAUCGCUCCGAUGCUGAGCCUCAAUGCCCGAGGUGUCAUAGCAGAACAACCCCAAACUUUCACAUCCACCACAAAUCCACAAUUCCACCUCACUCAACCACAAAUUCACCACGUCCCCAUGAGCAACGACAGCACUAUGCGAUGACGAAUCUGGUCAUCAUAGUCGCUCGCUGGAGAAAC
rnacentral:lncRNA from 1 species